rnacentral:rRNA from 1 species
UACGGAGGGUGCAAGCGUUAUCCGGAUUUACUGGGUUUAAAGGGUGCGCAGGCGGAUAUGUAAGUCAGUGGUGAAAUCUCCGGGCUUAACCCGGAAAUUGCCGUUGAUACUAUAUAUCUUGAAUGCUGUGGAGGUAAGCAGAAUAUGUCAUGUAGCGGUGAAAUGCUUAGAGAUGACAUAGAAUACCUAUUGCGAAGGCAGCUUACUACACAGAUAUUGACGCUCAUGCACGAAAGCGUGGGGAGCAAACAGG